rnacentral:lncRNA from 10 species
GAGCGGGGAGCAAGGCCUGCGGGGAGGCGCAGGAUGGACGCGUUGGCUGUCAUGAUGUAGGACCUCCUGACCUAGAACCAUGCCCGGCGCAGGGAGAACAACGAGCUUACGGACCGGGUGCGGGGGCUGCUGUGCGAGAAAGCCUACCUGCUGGCCCGGGAGCGUUCGCCGGCCCACCUGGUGGCUUUCCCUGGACGUUUAACGGCGACUCCGCCCGGCCUCCCGACUUUUUGAUGCAGGCGUUCUCUUACAUGACUUUCUUCGAGGCUAGAUUCUCGAAAGACAUCCUGAAGGUGGCUUUCUUAAUUAGCUGCCUCACCGGCUGGCGGAGCAGUUCGUAGUCGCCUACAUCGAGAGGGAGAGCCCCGUCCUGGCUCAGUACUGGGGCUUCGUGGACGCGCUGUAGCGGGUCUUCGCCGUCGUGGGUAGGAAACAGUCGGGCCGGAUCCCCGGUGUCUGGGGAGCGGCUGCCGGCCGGGCCCGCGCGAGCCGCUUCACUCCUACAAGCCCGGCUCACUAGUUCCAAGCUGCUGGACUUUGACCCUCGCUGGGAAGCUUGAUCGCCGCCUGUUCUCGCCAAUCUCUAUGCCUUUGCACUGCCCAGCAACCCGGUCACUGCCCAGGACCUGUUAAAAGUUGAAUGGACCUCCCAGAAUCACGCCGCUGCCACCGCCGUUUCUAGAGACGGCUUUUGGCCACCUUUGAGAAUCAGGGUCAAACUUGGAAGGGCCUGCAUUUGUCACACUUCCUCGGACACUAAUUUGGAUAGUUCAGGCCCAGAGACGGCUUCCCGGGUUAGUGUGCCUGACAACACUGAAGAAAAAUUGUGACAUUUUCCUUCCCCAGAAUUACUUCGUUUUAUACAUUUCACUUCUCUUCUGAAAUCACAGCAAUGCCAGUUUGCGCCUUUUGGUCUGAGGAACGCAGGCCCUGGCCACUACCAGGAAAAAAUCCUUUGCACAUGGCCUGCUAUCAACAAUCCUCUACAAUGAUUCUCAGCAUCACCUAGGGAGCUUAUGUAAAAUCUCAAAUUCCUGGGCCCUAUCCCCAGAGUUUCUUAUCAAUUUCCUUGAUGGAGAACUAUCAAAGCAGUCAAAGCUAUCAAAAUAAAAAAGAAUUCUGAUUGGGUGCAGUGGCUCACACCUGUCAUUCCAGCACUUUGAGAGGCCAAGGUGGGCAGAUCACAUGAGGCCAGGAGUUCAAGACCAGCCUGGCCAACAUGGCAGAAACCCCAUCUCUACUAAAAAUACCAAAAUUAGCCGGGCAUGGUGGAACACACCUGCAAUCCCAGCUACUCGGGAGGCUGAGGCAAGAGAAUCGCUUGAACCUGGGAGGCAGAAGUUGCAGUGAAACAAGUUGGUGCCAAUGCAUUCCAGCCUGGAUGAUGGAGCGAGACUCUGUCUCAAGAAAAAAAAAACAAAAACAAAAACAGAACUCUGCCUCAUAGCGUCUUUUAAGUUAUACACUGGACCUAUCCUUUCCUCACUGACAGACAUUUUAAAAAUUUUUUGGUAAGGCCUAGUUCAUAUAAAAUGUAAUCCAAGCCAAAAGUUAACAAGAAUAAGGGGAGGAAAGGGGACUCCAAUAGCAGAGAAAGGUAUUUACCUGGGAUAUACACUGCAAGAAAAUCAAAGCUAUAAGAAACGUCCAUGAAUAGUAGCCAUAAGGCAUCAGAGUGAUAAAAUUCCUGUCCCUAGGAGGGAAUAUUGGAGUUUGCCAGAGAAACAGAAUGAGAGAGACAGAGAGGUUUAUUGUAGGAAUUGGCUCAUAUGAUUACGGAGGCUGAGAAGACCCACGAUCUGCCAUCUGCAAGCUGGAGAAUCAGGAAAGCUGGAGGUGUAAUUCAGUCAAGUCCAAUGGCCAGAGAAGCAAGUGUACUGAUAUCCAAGAGCAGGAGAAAAUAGAUGUCCCAGAACAAGCAGAGAGGCUGAUUUUGUCCUUCCUCUGCCUUUUUGUUUCAUAUGGGGCACUGAAUGGACUGAUGCCCAUCCACAUUAGUGAGGGUGGAUCUUCUUUACUCAGUCUACCAGUAGAAAUGUCAAUGACUUCCAGAAACACCCUCACCAACACACGUGGAAAUAAUGUUUUACCAGGUAUCUGGGCAUCCCUUGGUUCACUCAAGUUGACACAAAAUUAACCAUCACAGAAGGAGACUGGCCUUACUCUGAAAUUAGGAAACUAAAGAAGUGACCAGAAUGGAGACUAGGUAGAGACAACUAGUUCUCUACCAAACAUGUACAGUUAUUCGUUGGUAUCUGAAGGGGAUUGGUUCCAGGAACUCUCAGGGAUACCAAAAUCUGCAGGUGCUCAAGUCAUUUAUAUAAAAUAUUACAGUAUUUGCAUAUAACCUUUGCACAUCUUCCAUAUACUUUAAAUCAUCUCUACAUUACUUAUAAUAAUGAAUGUGUAAAUGCUAUGAAAAUAGUUACUACACUAUUGUUUAUUUGUAUUUUUAUUGAAUUGUUUUGGGGUGGGGGGCAGCUGUAUCUUUCUUAGUAAUAGAACCCCUGGUUUUAGCUGGGCACAUGACUGCCCUCAAUAAAGAUUAAAGUACCCCAGCCUUCCUUGAGAUUGUGGCCAUGUGACUGAACUUUAGACAGUGAGAUAUAAGCAGAUAUCUUCUGUGGCAGUGUUAGGAAACUAUUAAAGACAGUAAGAACAUUGCCCUUUGCCUUCUUUUUCCUUUCUUCAUUUUUCUGCCUGGAAUGCAAAUGUGAUGGCUAACACCCUAGCAGCCAUUUUAGAUUAUGAAGAUGAGAGUCACUCCCCAGGAAGGGUGGACCUGAAAGCUGGAUUCUAGAUGUGGAAUGACAAUACCAGCCCUGGACUACCUACCUGUAGGCUGUGUGUGUGUGUGUGUGAUUGACAGAGAGAGAGAGAGAUAGAUACCACAAGUAACACAAAGCAUCAUACCUGGGACUGGGAAGGUUAAUGUUUAAACAUUUUAAAUGUGGCAUUGGUUUGUUGAAGACAGUCAAGCAGUAGGUGCUGCAGGCUUUGUUGAGGCUAGAAAGCUGUUGGUCUUUAUUAGGUGAUGGCAAAACAAUGGAUCACAUUUUCAUGUGCUGUGUCUUGGGAGGCAAAUGAUGAGAAUGUAGGAUUGGGGAAAAUGGUAAGGAAAAUCCAAAAUGUUCAUGUUUUCUAACCCCUUCUUGCCAAUCUUAAAAGAAGGACAAACAGGCUAGAUUAAGCAAGUCUACAGUUACAAUUGGAAGGAAACACAGCCGUACUAAGGAAGUACUCUGUCUGUGGCCUGCAGUCUAGUUUGACUAGGUCCUGUAUUUGAGCUUUGAAAGAGUAAAGAAUACAAGUGCUCGUAUACCCCUGAAGUAGUUACCAGCAGUGACUGCAAGGAGGUAAUCUUAUGGGAUGAAACUAUAACUCUGUAUUAACCAUCAUAUAUAGCAUAUAUGUGUAUAUGUAUGUGUGUGUGUGUAUAUGUGUAUAUAAAUAUAUGUGUGUGUAUAUACACACAUGUACACACCCUACAACCCAGUGAUUUCAAAAAAUUAAACAUUUGUUUAGCUCAUGAAUCUGUGGGUUGGGUGAACAUUUCUAUUGGUCUUGGCUGGGCUCACCUGUACCCAGUCAGCUGCAGGGUCUAGCUCUUCUUAUCUUGGCUGGGAUCUCACACAUGUCUAGGAUCAGCUGCUUUACUAGUCUAGGAUUGUCUUGGCUGAGACAGGUGGACUACUCAGUUCUCCUCCACUGCCUUAUCCUUCAGCUGGCCAGCCCAGAAAUGUUGCCAUGUUUACAGCAUAAGAGCAAGCAAGAAAGAAUAAUAUGCAACCACUUUUCCAAGCCUAAGGUGAAAGGGCGGGCAGAACCUGUGGUGUUAGGAGGCAACUCAUACCAGCCCAUGGGUCUACCGUUUAAUUUUCAGAAAUUUGGCAAGCUGAUUGUUAACACAGCUGUUGUUUAAUUUAUGUACUUGUAAUUAAAUAAUUUACAUUAAAACAAAGAUAAUAGGUACUCAAAA